rnacentral:rRNA from 1 species
UAACGCGUGGGUAACCUGCCCUAUACACAUGGAUAACAUACUGAAAAGUUUACUAAUACAUGAUAAUAUAUAUUUACGGCAUCGUAGAUGCAUCAAAGUGUUAGCGGUAUAGGAUGGACCCGCGUCUGAUUAGCUAGUUGGUGAGAUAACUGCCCACCAAGGCGACGAUCAGUAGCCGACCUGAGAGGGUGAUCGGCCACAUUGGAACUGAGACACGGUCCAAACUCCUACGGGAGGCAGCAGUA